rnacentral:rRNA from 1 species
GAUGAACGCUGGCGGCGUGCCUAAUACAUGCAAGUCGAGCGAAGCGGGGACGGGUGAGUAACACGUGGGUAACCUCCUAUAAGACGGGGAUAAACUCGUGAAACCGGAGGUUAACCGGCAUCUUAUCGAUGGUGGCGUUCUGCAUUAGCUGGGUGGUAAGGUAACGGCGUACCAAGGCAACGAGGCAUAGCCGACCUGAGAGGGUGAUCGGCCACACUGGAACUGAGACACGGUCCAGACUCCUACGGGAGGCAGCAGUGGGGAAUCUUCCGCAAUGGGCGAAAGCCUGACGGAGCAACGCCGCGUGAGUGAUGAAGGUCUUCGGGUCGUAAAACUCUGUUAUUAGGGAAGCGGUACCUGAUCAGAAAGCCACGGCUAACUACGUGCCAGCAGCCGCGGUAAUUC